rnacentral:rRNA from 1 species
GACAGAGGGUGCAAACGUUGUUCGGAAUUACUGGGCGUAAAGCGCGUGUAGGCUGCUGCGAAAGUCAGGUGUGAAAGCCCCGGGCUCAACCUGGGAAGUGCACUUGAAACCUCGCAGCUUGAAUGCCGGAGAGGGUAGCGGAAUUCUCGGUGUAGAGGUGAAAUUCGUAGAUAUCGAGAGGAACACCGGUGGCGAAGGCGGCCAACUGGACGAAUACUGACGCUGAGACUCGAAAGCGUGGGGAGCAAACAGG